UGUAGUUCAAUAGGCUGAGGUCGCAUCCAAGACAGAGUUACCAUAAAAAGGCAUUGCUUUUGGAAAAAGAAGUCCAUCUGAUGAACAUUUAACAAGCAGGGUAUGUAGUUUGGUGGUUAGAGGAAACAGCCUCAGAAGAGGAACUUUGUCAAAUGACAAUAUGAGAUCACAAAAAGCAGAGUCUGUGCAAGUUGAAAAGAAAAGGAAGCUGUUGGAGGAUUCGUCGUCCUACCUUCUGCCCAGAGUGACAGCAGGAAACAGGAAGCAGGGGUACCUCAGAGGAAGCAGCUGAGACACUUAGGUCUCCAAAGUCCCUGAACAGCAAGGAAGACACCAGGGAAAGUGUGAAGUGAAUAUGCCAAAGAAUGUGAAUUAAUUUCAAGAUGCAGAGGGGCUGCUCAGAGCAACUGCUUCACCUGAUGUCCUAUCAGUACUCUGAAGUUCCAUUCCUUAGAGAGACAAACAUCCAUGAGACCAACAAAAGUCAUGGCUUACCUUUUCUUCAUCUAAAUUUCUAUACAAGAGUGGACAGGCGGUCUGCCAGUUCUUCUCA